UACGGGGGGGGGCAAGCGUUGUUCGGAAUUACUGGGCGUAAAGGGCUCGUAGGCGGCCAACUAAGUCGGACGUGAAAUCCCCAGGCUUAACUUGGGAACUGCGUCCGAUACUGGAUGGCUUGAAUCCGGGAGAGGGAUGCGGAAUUCCAGGUGUAGCGGUGAAAUGCGUAGAUAUCUGGAGGAACACCGGUGGCGAAGGCGGCAUCCUGGACCGGUAUUGACGCUGAGUGAGCGAAAGCCAGGGGAGCAAAACGGGG
rnacentral:rRNA from 1 species